GCUGCGGAUGGUGGCGUUGGAGGGGCUGCGUGGCUCAGACCAGCCCGAGAGGAUUUAGGGACACACCCAGCGUUUGACGUUAACACCAGCCUAACACCAACCAAAUGCUGAUAGAUCUGCAAAUGGUCUCCAGCUUUUUGACCAUAUUCUACUUGGAAGAGAACCCCUAUCCUGGAAAAGGCUCCUACACCAAAUAAAGAAAGAAGCUGGACUACAAUCGCCAAGGCUUUCAUCCAACCAGGUGGGGGGCACCUUGGCGUCACCUGUCUCCUUCUAAAGGUGUCAGUGAAGUGAGAGCCCUGUCAUUCCUGUAAAGAAGGUUGGGAUCCCAAUUACCCGGAGGCUCACCCCUCCUACCCCACCACCCCAUCACCACCAAUCCUGCUCUCCCCACAAGGGGUGUCACAGAAAUGAAGAAACAUACUGACAAGGAACCAAGAGUCCUCUUUUGAAACACGAUAAUGGAAACAGAUGUGCCUUUUUUCUUGUGGCUCAUCCUUUUUUAUUCAAUCCCUAGUACUUCUUUUUUGCUCUCCUACACUUUUCAUUUCUUCUCUUCUCUCGCUCAUUCUGGCCCUCCCUCCUUGCCAGACCUCCAUGCUUUGAUACCCUUCAUUUAGCGUGUCAGCAGCGAUGACACAUGUACCCAUUCAUCCGCCCCUGCCGACAUUGUUAGAAGUGUAUUCCAAAUCAUGCAGGAACAAGCACGGCCUUUUGCUUCCCAUUGAACAUUUUCUGCUUAAUAAACCCUCCAGACAUUCAACCAACUGAAUAUUUUGCCUUUUCUAAAGGAUUCCUUCUUGGAGAUCCCUCAUACAAAGCAGGCAGAGAGUAUAAUUUGCGUGGUGUGUUUCCAGCAAGAUCCCAUCCUGUCAGGGGUGAAGGGUCUUUUAUCUCUAGUGGUGUCUUGAGUGGCUCUCAUGUCUGGUUCAGAGCAUGCAGGGGCUCCAAAGCCGAGCGACAGAGUAACGUCAGCAUGAGUGGCAGCAGGGUAGACAGCAACGGCUCGGACAAAUCCUCCUCUAUCUGGCCCAGAAUCCUCUGGGGCUACUUGGUAAGCUGCAGUGAAUCACCUUGAGCUUAAUGAUUUGCAGAUAUACAGAGAGAAGGGGGCUGGAACCUCCAGGGCCGGAGUUUAUCUCCUGGGCCUGACCCUUUGAUCUGGCCCUCAGAUUAACCCUGCAGACAAAGAGACAGAGCCUGCGUGUGUAUGUAUAUAUCUUGUG